rnacentral:rRNA from 1 species
CAGCCGCCGCGGUAAAACGGAGGGCGCGAGCGUUACCCGGAUUUACUGGGCGUAAAGGGCGUGUAGGCGGCCUGGGGCGUCCCAUGUGAAAGGCCACGGCUCAACCGUGGAGGAGCGUGGGAUACGCUCAGGCUAGAGGGUGGGAGAGGGUGGUGGAAUUCCCGGAGUAGCGGUGAAAUGCGCAGAUACCGGGAGGAACGCCGAUGGCGAAGGCAGCCACCUGGUCCACUUCUGACGCUGAGGCGCGAAAGCGUGGGGAGCAAGCCGGAUUAGAUACCCCAGUAGUCCCUGUCUCUUAUAC